rnacentral:lncRNA from 1 species
AGCUGAAACGAAUAUGACUCGGAACUGUGAGGUUGUGGGUUCAACCCCUGGCCUUGCUCAGUGGGUUAAGGAUCCGGCAUUGCCAUGAGCUGUGGUGUAGGUCACGACGUGGCUCAGAUCCUGCAUUGCUAUGGCUGUGACAUAGGCCAGUGGCUGCGGCUCCGAUCAGAUCUCCAGCCUAGGAACCUCCAUAUGCCGCAGGUGCGGCCCUAAAAAGACAAAAAGACAAAAAAAAAAAAAAGUUAUUCAUGCACUGCCAUUGAACCCACAAUUCCUUGUGGUGAGUAUUACCCCUGUUCUCCACAAUUAGAAAAUGAAGCCGAGUGGGACACGAUCACUAAUCCAGAGUAAGGCAGCUUUUCAGUUGUGUUGUGAGGUUUGAACUCAACUCUGUUUUCUCUAAGGGACCGUGCAGGAGCCAGAGCUGUGGUGAGGCUCUGGGCAUCGUCUCAGUUACCCAGGCACAAAUUCACAGCCCCUGAAGGCUGGGCCUGAGUGAGAUGGGAAAAGUGAUCUAUUCUAGCCCCUCUUUCAGUUUAUAAACCUCCUCUGUCGUUUCCUCCAGCGAUGUCACCAAGCCCAAGUUUGAACAUCUCUGCUAACGGGACACCUGCUAUUUUUGCAGAGCUCAGAGCUAGGGAAAAGUAGGUCAGGCCAGAGCAGUAAAGCAAAAGAAAUGCCUGAGAAUCAGCUGGGAUGAGCACAGAGACGGCCAGUGGGGACAGGAGGGCAGGGAGAGGGGAACACCACUUCUUCAAAGGUCUUCCUUGCCAAUAGCAGCUCUUUUAUAUACAACCCCUCUCAAUGGAGGGUAUAAGUUAUGUUUUUUCAGGAGUUCCUAUGGUAGCUCAGUGGGUUAAGGACCCAACUAUUAUCCAUGAGUGGGUUCGAUCCCCAGCCUCACUCAGUGGGUUAAGGAUCUGGUGUUACCACAAGCUGCAGUGUAGGUUGAAGAUGUGGCUUGGAUCUGGCAUUGCUGUGGUUGUGGCAUAGGCCAGCAACUGCAGCUCCGAUUUGAUCCCAGCCUAAGAACUUCCAUAUGUUGCAAGUAUUGCCCUGAAAAGAAAAAAAAAGAUAUGUUUUUUCAAGGGACCAGUUCACCAUAGAAUCAGCUACUCUAACCCAGUAUAUUUUCCCCUUUUGCUUUGGCCACUAGGAAGCUCUUAGGUAAAUUACAUAUUCAAUCUCAGUUACUAAUCUGGUCCAGAAGCCUGAUGGUUUUUUCCCUAUCUCUCUCUCUUUCUUUCUUCCUUCCUUCCUUUUUUUUUUUUUCCUUGUGUGUGUGUGUGUGUUUCUAAGGCCCCACACAUAGCAUAGGGAGGUUCCCAGGCUAGGGCUCUAAUUGGAGCUAUAGCCACCGGUCCCAUAUGCGGCUUGGAUCUGGCAUUGCUGUGGCUGUGGCGUAGGUGGGCAGCUACAGCUCUAAUUCAGCCCCUAGCCUGGGGACUUCCAUAUGCAACAGGUGUGGCCCUAAUAAUAAUUAUUAUAAUAAAAUAAAAUAAAAGGAAUGGGUUAGAAAAAAGAAGAAAAUAGAAAAUGAAGGGACUGGAUCAGUGAUUCUUGACCCUGGCAGCCCAUUUGAACUGCCUGAGGAGCUUUGAAAAUGCGCUGGUGUCUGCGCCCCAUCCCAGGUCAAUUAAACGCAAUCUCUGAGGAUGGAUCCCAAAGCUUAUAAAACUUCAAGGUGAUCUGACUGGACGAUUAGGGCUGAGAACCCUGAACUAGCCCCUCAGUAAGGCCCAUUGCAAGAAGCCAUUCCAUCUGUCAUAGUGGAAAAACCAGGGCUUCGGAGCCAAGCAUAUGUGGGUUCUAAUCCCAGAUCUCUCUCCCGUUCCCCAGCAUCCUCAUCCAGCAAAGGAGGGGAUCAAGGCUCAGGGAAGUCCAAGGUCAUGCAGCUCUGAAGUGCUAUUGUAGGAGUUUGAAUCCAGUCCACAAUCUCAGGAGUAUUACAUCCUGGACAGGGCGAGGAGGUACAGCGGGCAGGUUUGUUCAGAGACCGUGGCUUCCCUGGUGUUCUGGACCGUCUGAGCCUCGGGGCAGGGGGGAGUCCAUCAGGGGUUCAUUCAUUCAUCCCUGUCCAGUGACUCACAGUUUGGGCAGCGGGUGUUGGGGCAGCAUGAGGUCACACAGACCUCAGCCAUCUCCUCACCUGGCACGUGCCGCGGCACCUCCAUACUCACUCUGCCCCAAGUCCUGAGCAUCAGCAGGCCAGUGUGGACAUGCUGGGCAGCUUGUGUGUGACUGGAGCAAUUGCAUCAGCUGCAAGAACAAAAACAAAUGCAGAAAGACUGACACCAACUUAAGGCACAAGCAGACCUUGCUUAAAACACCUGCUCCAUCACACGUGUGCCACAUGGUUAGCAGGUUGGGGCAUCUCUUUGAAAACACUGCAAAAUGCAUGUAAAAGGAUGGCUCAUGGGUCAUCCACCCCGCCUUUGACUGUGCGGUUCCCUCGCCUAGAGUGCCCUUCCCGUCUCUGCUUCUUGUAGGUCUCCAUUCAAAUGUUGCCUCUGCAGGAGUUCCCGUCGUGGUUCAGUGGUUAACGAAUCCAACUAGGAACCAUGAGGUUGCGGGUUCGAUCCCUGGCCUUGCUCAGUGGGUUAAGGAUCCGGUGUUGCCGUGAGCUGUGGUGUAGGUCACUGACGCAGCUCGGAUCUGGCGUUGCUGUGGCUCUGGUGUAGGCUGGUGGCUACAGCUCUGAUUNNNNNNNNNNNNNNNNNNNNNNNNNAAAAAAAAAAAAAAAAAAAAAAAAAAAAAAA